rnacentral:rRNA from 1 species
GUGGAGCUUGCUCCACUGAUUAGUGGCGAACGGGUGAGUAACACGUGAAUAACCUGCCCUCAAUUCCGGAAUAACCCAGGGAAACCUGGGCUAAUACCGGAUAAGUAAACCUGUGGCAUCACAUGGUUUUGGAAAGUUCUUCGAUUGAGGAUGGAUUCGCGGCCUGUCAGCUUGUUGGUGAGGUAAUGGCUCACCAAGGCGACGACGGGUAGCCGGCCUGAGAGGGUGGACGGCCACACUGGGACUGAGACACGGCCCAGACUCCUACGGGAGGCAGCAGUGGGGAAUAUUGCGCAAUGGACGAAAGUCUGACGCAGCGACGCCUCGUGAGGGACGAAGGUCUUCGGAUUGUAAACCUCUUUCAGCAGGGACGAAGCGAAAGUGACGGUACCUGCAGAAGAAGCACCGGCUAACUAUGUGCCAGCAGCCGCGGUAAUACAUAGGGUGCAAGCGUUGUCCGGAUUUAUUGGGCGUAAAGAGUUCGUAGGCGGUUUUUCGCGU